rnacentral:rRNA from 1 species
AUACGUAGGGGGCAAGCGUUAUCCGGAUUUACUGGGUGUAAAGGGAGCGUAGGCGGCCUAGCAAGUCAGAUGUGAAAGCCCGGGGCUCAACUCCGGGAUUGCAUUUGAAACUGCCAGGCUAGAGUGCAGGAGAGGUAAGUGGAAUUCCUAGUGUAGCGGUGAAAUGCGUAGAUAUUAGGAGGAACACCAGUGGCGAAGGCGGCUUACUGGACUGUAACUGACGCUGAGGCUCGAAAGCGUGGGGAGCAAACAGGAUUAGAUACCCUGGUAGUCCACGCUGUAAACGAUGAAUACUAGGUGUCGGGGCCGUCAAGGCUUCGGUGCCGCAGCAAACGCAAUAAGUAUUCCACCUGGGGAGUACGUUGGCAAGAAUGAA